GUUGAAAGUGAAGGGCAAGGCAUGUCCUAGUGACAACCUGUCUUUUUCUUUUUUCUUUUUUUUAGACUCAAGGUUAUAGGUGCUAUUGAUGAGUGUUCGCUUGGGAAGUAUCUGGAUAUCAGGACCCGGAUUGCCAUGCCAAGUUCUUCUGCUCCAUCAAUUUCUAUUUUGUUCCUACUUUCAAGCUGUUAUUUGGAGGUUUUAUGAGCCAACUGAAAUCUUAUAAGCCAACUGAAAUCCUUCUUGGAACCAGGUGUUCAUUCCAUACCCAUCAACGACGACAAAAACGACAAAAACGGCUUAAACAGGAUGGCAGUUUGCUUCUCUCCUAUGAAGGAGGUACUGAGAUUGGACAAUGCGAGGCCCGUAUGGAAGCUGCGUUGGUAACAGCAGGGGCCAGGCUCUUUCUCCCUGAGGCAACAUGAUGAGCCUCUGACUCCCUCAAGUUCCGAGAUGGGUGCCCAGGCUUCAGCCGUCAGCUCGCCGCUCCAGUCACAACGGAGGAAGGGGAAGCGUGCUCAGGUACCUAGCUACAACCGGCCAUGGGGGGAGCAGGAGAUGUAGACUUCUCAGGGGGUGACCGAGUUCUUUAAUUAAAGAAAGGGGUAAUGGAUACUCAGGGGUAUCAGCUGUCCACGGGGAGAGACAGCCAUUAAUCGAACAAUGAUGCAAAUAUAUGAUGAUUAAUUGUGAGGGGCGCCAGGAGAGGGGCAGCUAGGCCGGCCUCUGUCUGUAGGGGGGGUGGAGGACGUGUUCAAGCCCCGACUGGGCUGGAGCUCGGCGGGGGAGGUGGCGGGGAGGUGUCCAGGAGGCCCA
rnacentral:lncRNA from 1 species